GCAGUGGGGCGGUCUGUCGCUUCUCCCCCAGAGGGAGGUGAGGAACGUCCGGGCAACGCAGAGCACCAUGCUUCCUAACGGGAAGUCGUCCGUGAGGGCGAAGUAGCGUAACAGAGAAUGACCGCCCGCAGCCUCGGCUACGGGUAAGGGUGAAAAGGUGCGGUAAGAGCGCACCGAGCCUGUGGUGACACGGGCUGCCGUACGCCUGAUGGGUUGCAAGAUCAUGUAUACCGACGCCACGAGGCUUGCUCGGCCCAUGUCGGAGGGUAGAUCGCUUGAGAGGAGUGGUGACACUCCAUCCAGAUAAAUGGCAGACGCCGAGCCUUGGCUCGGUACAGAACCCGGCUUAUAGCCCCACUGCCGCU
rnacentral:RNase_P_RNA from 1 species